CAAUUAUAAAUGGCGUAAUUUGUGCGCCGUGGCGGCCGUGUCAUGAACAUAGCCGAACUAGUGCAUCCUAGAGUGGACCUUUUCUGUACCAGGAUCAAGACGACUCCACGGGGGCGCAGCAAACGGAGGGAGGCUCGCCGGAAAAGCGAGUUUCUUCGCCGACAAACCGCAAAAUGGAUGAAUGCGACAACCCCGUCGUCGUCUCACUAGGAAAACUCGCAUCACAGCAGCUGAACGAGGGGGUCGCCGAGCCGAGCGCGGAAAAUUCGGAUCAGGAGCAGCCACUUUGCGACUACAAAGAGCCGAGCAUCGAUGAUAAGGAAGCGCUGCUAGAGCAGGACCUUCACAAAUCAUCAGUCGAGGAGGACGCAGCCAACGACGCGGAAGUCGAGGCAGUCAUCAUGGGACAGGCGGAGAGCAAGAAGCAGGGCAGCAAGUCGGGUCGCCGCCACCACAAUGGCAACGGCAAUGGUAAUGGCAAUCCCUCGGAGGCAAUGGAGCAGAAUCAGACGGUGCACACCAAAGGCACUGCCAUGUCCUUUGGGUUCCGCAAGAAGCUCAAUGGGACGCCCAAGAAGUUCAAGAAACUCCUGGAAGGCGGCGACAAAAGCGCAACUCGCACAGACACAAAGGAUGACAACGGAAAUGCAGCUGUCCCCGUUCACUUUGAGAAAGUAGGCGCCGCCGCUGUCCAGAAAGCUGGCACUUUGGGGACAGGUGCGGCCGGUGGACGCUUCGGUUAUCGUGGGGCGGUGCCACGCCCCUCUUCUGCCGGCUUCACUGCGCCCAGUGAAGACUCCGAAUCGGAUUCGAUGGCCAAUGCACAGAACAACAUCAACAACAACAACAACAAUAAUAAUACUGGACGUGGAGCGGAAAAUGGUCCGGUGCUGGUGAGCAAUUUGAAACGCCGCUCCAAGAGCGCACACGCCGGUCGAUCCGGCGAUGGGGAGCCCAAAAUAGCCCAGCCCAAGACGCUGACGUUCAACCUGAAUCAGAACACCACCAUCGAGUACCAGCGGCGUCAGUUCUUCGGCGAGAUCGCGGAUGAGACGUCGGGUUCCGGAUCCGGAUCGGCUACGGGAACGGGAUUGGGGUCGAGAGCCAUGCAGCCGAGAUAUAACUACAGUAACCUGGCCAGCAUGCAUGCCAAUGUCAUAGUUCGCCCCACACCGCGACCCACUCCAGCCAGCUAUGCCAAGUUCACCCUGCAGACAGUGAGCCUGCCCAGGCCGGAGUACCCGGUGGCCAUCAGCUUGACAGCCACCACACCAACCACGCCCAGCAGCAGUGUGCAGUCACCCGUGCCCGCCCAUUCCACUGGUGCCCGGGCCAAGGACAUAUCCACCAGUUCCAGGCAACAUCCCUUGACCUCGGUCCAUGUCCAACCGCAGUCGCGUCAUCUUGACCAGAAGAGCGUGAAGCAGCUAACGAAUAACUCCACGCGACGCGGAUUCUCCGGAAGCAGGGAGAUUAGCGCAGAUUCGGGUAUAGCCAGCAUGGACAUGGCUUUGGACAGCAGCUCGGGCAGCUCGGUGGGUUCCAAGAGGAGUCGCAGCAGGCCCAGGAACCUGAAGAUGGUGAUGAGUGGACGGCACACAUUCGAGGUGCGCGAUGCCGAUGAUCCGCCGUCCAGUGAGUCCAACUCCUUUGUGGAGCCACUGGCACUACCAAAGCUACCCACUGAUGGCAGUCAGAGUGUUCCUCUGCCAUUACUGGGCUUGGUGCGAUCCAAUACGGUGUUGAGUCGGGAGACCUACGAGCGACGUCAGGCGGAGACUCCGGCAUCCCAGGAUCAGCAGGAUCAGGAGUCGGAAAAACCCAAGACAAGCGGCUCCGAUGAGAGCGAGAGUGUGGAUGAAGAGAAGCUCUACCUGGACUCCUCCACCUCCGAAAAGAGUGCCAAACAUCAGAGCCAGUCCUCAGUGGCCUCCACUUGGCGUCAUCAGGCCGGUGAGUCUCUGGCCGCCCAGGAUUGCAGCAGCAUGAGCAUGAGCAUCAGUAGUGAUACCCAGGCUCCGGAAAAUCCGCGCGAUAAUGACAAGGAGGAGGACAUGUCCUUGGGUCUGGAUGAGAUCAGUCUGAUCAACACCGACAUGCAGUUUAGCACAAUCUCUUCAAUGACGGAAACUCCGCCCAAAGUGGGUCAGGAGUCCCUGCUCAAUCUCCACCUGGUGGACAAUCGGGAAGCGGGCACCUCGCGUCCCCGCUCCUUCAACAAUGCUCUUAAUGAAUCCAAGUUUGCCGAGCUGGCUUUGGCCAGUAGCAGUUGCCUCCUGUUGGAUGAUGAGACUUCGCCCACGGAUAGUUUGGUCAGCAGCACCGAGGACUCCGAGGAGGCGGGUGGCAAGUUGCAGAAGCACAAGCUCAAUGAGGAGCGUCAGCAGAAGGACAUCGAUGACAUCGAUAUUGAUGAUAUUUCUCCGGUUCUCGAACUGGAUCUGGAUCCUCCAGGUGGGCGCAGUCCCAUUUCACCCGGCACUCCCACUCAUGCAUCCCAUUCCCUUUCUUUGGGCUCGGAUUGCGGAAAUCUCAUAGACGAUGAGAUCGCUGAUCAGCCAGCUCUGCUGUGCAACAGUGAAGCCCAUGAGGUGGCCACCGACACGCCCACUUUAAUGGAAACCCUUACCCACACCCAAACGGGAUCCCUGAGGUCCUUGAAGAGUCAGUCGAAGGCUCGUACCGCUCUGCAGCAGGCCAUCGAGCUGAGUUUGAGGACUCCGGCUGCCGUGCGAAAGGCAGUUAUGGAUCGAGCCGAAUCCUUGGAUACUCUGUCGCCCUGCGAGUCCAUUUGCUCCGACGACCUGAUGAUGGACUUCGACAUGAACAGCAGUGUGGACUCCAUCGAUCACAUGGCCAAUUCAACGGGUCGCAGUCGCAGUGGCUCGGAUCUUCACAAGAUUGGUGGCCAGGACAUCGAUCCCAUGCAGGCGGAGACUGAGGCGGAGCUUCUAUCCGAGUUGGAGCGCAGGGGCAGUGAUGUGAUGAAGGAGCUCAAUACUUUGCUGCGCGGCAGGAGGCAGCGCGGAGGACCCAGGGAGAGGAUUAGCGCCCAGCUGCCUGCGCGUGCCACCAGAUUGCUGAACCGCUCCCGUCUGCAGGACCAACAGCUCGCCGGCAACGAUUCGGAUAACAGCUUGAGGAGCUCCCACAGCGGCGGAGCUUCGGCGGCGGCGGCGGCCAGGAAGAGAAGCACGGCCCACUCCAGGACCUCGUCGGCAUCCACGGCCAGUCUGCCCCGUCAGCGGCACCUGCAGCAGCAGCACCUGGGCUUGGGUGGCGGAGCAGGAGGUGGUGGCGGUGGUGGAGCCACUGCAUCCGGAACAUCCACGCAGCGGUGCGGGGGAGAGCUGCACAGCUCGUCGGACGAUCUAAUGUUGUAUGACAAGUCCUUCCGCAAUGCCAUGAUCCAGGAUGUGCUGCAGUUCAAGAAGCAGCUGCUUCGGCUGCGGCGAAUACUCCAGGAGACGGAAACGCUCAAUCCCUUCGAGAACGACAACGUCCAGCUGUUCGCCGCCUGCGGAUUGGAUAGCAAGCAGCUGAAUGACAUCGAUCUGGCCAGCCUGACCUCGUCCACGACGGAGGAUCCGCUCCAGGAGCUAUCGGAUCUACGUAGACAGGGUCAAGUGGACGAUCGUGACCGCACCAUUCGCCUGCAGCGAGAUCUCAUCGAGCAACUGGAGGCCGAGAAGCGGCAGAAGGCGGCGAAUGGACCCGGACCUGGAUCUGGCGGGGAUCAGGGCAAGGAGCUCAUCAGCAUGGCCACCCAAACGGAGCGGACACGACCACUUGCCAUUGGUGCGGAGGGUUUGUCCAGACUACAAUUUGGGGAGCAACAGGUACUAUUUUGUGAUUUCAUCCUAGCCAUCAUUGUGCUCUGUGCCAUCAAUCUUAUAUGUAUACUACACCUAAGCUACAACUGUAUAGAUAAUUGUAAUUCGUGCACUUGAGCAACUAACCCAAUGCCCAAGAGCAUUUACUAACUACCAUCAAAUGGCACCUAACUAAGCUUUAAACUAUCCUAAGAUAUCCGAGUUACUAAGCUAAGCUUUAAGAACGUUACUAAUUUGUCACUGAAAAUUUAACACUGUUUGUGAAACGUUUUAAUUGCAUGCGGCAAUUAAAUAGAGUCCCAAGAAGUAAGCCCGAAUAUACCAGUUAUACCACGCACUUUCCGAUGCUCCACUUGCACGAUUCCACGCUGGCAGCCACCACGAUAAUCCGC
rnacentral:misc_RNA from 1 species